rnacentral:lncRNA from 1 species
ACACCUAAACGUCCAAAAGAUUGACAAAUUGCUCAAAGUAAAUUUGGUCAAACGGGUCCGCUAAAUUUGGGAAAGGGAUGGAAAAUGUGUUAGGUCCUCACGAUUGCAAAUAGACGCCAUUUCGGGCACGUACCGCAGGACGAACGUGUCGUACCUGAUGCGGAGUGAUUAGUUAUAUACCUUAACAUGCAAAUAGUUGUAAACUGAACAUGCAAAUAGUUUUUGCUAUGUGCCGAUAUUUUCUUUCGAGUAUUCCACGUUGUUUUGGUGUGUAUGGUGCAAAAAAUCUUUGCGAAAUCCUUCUUUUCUUCAGAAAAUUGUGUAGAUUUAUCCUGAGAAUUCGCCACCAUCUUCAGAAAAUUGAUGCAACGACUAUGCGUGCAAAUGUGGAGAUGAUCAGGAAGGCCACAAGCGUUGGUGACCUAGCUGAAGAAUUGGGGAUGGUCGACAAGUCACGUUCGUUGAACGGUACUGGACUAGGUCCGCACCGACGUCGAAGGUGAGCUCGAAUCCCUAAAUUGGACGGAUAAUUUAUAAAUUAGUCCCUAAGUAGUUUUAUUUUUAUCAAAUAAAUUGUAACCUUUAAAUAGGAAAUUCUCUGUUUUAAACAUUUUUAUCAAAUCCCUCCCCUCAUCGCACAAUCCAUCUCCUAUUUUAUCAAAUUAAAUUCGUGUAUUGUACAGAUAAUUCAUUGAAUGAAGAGAUUCCAAGAUGGUAUCAGACGAUUCUCUUCUGUGAAGGUGAAAACAACGCGUUUUCUAUUCACUCGAUCUGACAACGACGCGUCCGAUCUCGGAAUUUCCAGAUCGCGACUUUACUUCCAGAUCGCUACUUCAUCCGCUCUUCCAGAUCGUGACUUCAUCCGUUCUUCCAGAUCACUGUGAGUCUUCCAGAUCGUGAUUUCAUACGCGAUUUCCAGAUCGCGAUUGGUUGCAGACGGAUGCGGAGUGUUUUCCAGAUCGCGAUAGUUGUUUGGUGAAGAAAAUCGCAGACUGCAAUCGUUUUUUUUUUCCAGAUCGCAAUCGAUCCCGACACAAUAGAUCUGUCGAGUACUCCGUGCAUCCCAGUUCACUCUCCUUCCGGAUCCAUUCCUAUCUUCUGCUCUGUCCGAAUUGAGCUCUGGCCCAAUCAGGUUAACAUCAUUAUUGAUUCUGG